rnacentral:rRNA from 1 species
UGGAAUUGCGCAGUGUGACCGGCAAGUCUUGACUUGUCACUUCGCACUCGUCACUUCCUAAAAUCGCUGACAGGAAGAAGACAUAGUCUACGCCACUGGGAAACCAGGGAAUUCCGUACGAUGUCGGCUCAUCGCAUCCUGGGGCUGGAGAAGGUCCCAAGGGUUUGGCUGUUCGCCAAUUAAAGCGGUACGUGAGCUGGGUUUAGAACGUCGUGAGACAGUUCGGUCCCUAUCCAUCGUGGGCGGAGGAGAUUUGAGAGGGGCUGUCCCUAGUACGAGAGGACUGGGAUGGACGCACCUCUAGUGUACCAGUUAUCACGCCAGUGGUAUCGCUGGGUAGCUAUGUGCGGAACGGAUAAGCGCUGAAAGCAUAUAAGCGCGAAGCCGGCCUCAAGAUGAGAUCUCCCGUAGAGUAAUCUACCUAAAGGCCCCUUCGAGACUAGGAGGUUGAUAGGCCGGAGGUGUAAGCGUGGUGACACGUUCAGCCGACCGGUACUAAUAGGCCGUGUGGCUUGAUCGU